GACGAACGCUGGCGGCGUGCCUAAUACAUGCAAGUCGAACGAGAGCGACCGGUGCUUGCACUGGUCAAUCUAGUGGCGAACGGGUGAGUAACACGUGGGUAACCUGCCCAUCAGAGGGGGAUAACAUUCGGAAACGGAUGCUAAAACCGCAUAGGUUCUUUAGUCGCAUGACUGAAGAAGGAAAAGAGGCUUCGGCUUCUGCUGAUGGAUGGACCCGCGGUGCAUUAGCUAGUUGGUGAGGUAACGGCUCACCAAGGCGAUGAUGCAUAGCCGACCUGAGAGGGUGAUCGGCCACAUUGGGACUGAGACACGGCCCAAACUCCUACGGGAGGCAGCAGUAGGGAAUCUUCCGCAAUGGACGCAAGUCUGACGGAGCAACGCCGCGUGAGUGAAGAAGGAUUUCGGUUCGUAAAACUCUGUUGUUAGAGAAGAACAGCGCAUAGAGUAACUGUUAUGCGUGUGACG
rnacentral:rRNA from 1 species